rnacentral:tRNA from 1 species
GGGCGGCUAGCUCAGCUGGUUAGAGCGCUUCCUUCACACGGAAGAGGUCACAGGUUCGAGUCCUGUGUCGCCCACCA